GAUGAACGCUGGCGGCGUGCCUAAUACAUGCAAGUCGAGCGAAUGGAUUAAGAGCCUGCUCUUAUGAAGUUAGCGGCGGACGGGUGAGUAACACGUGGGUAACCUGCCCAUAAGACUGGGAUAACUCCGGGAAACCGGGGCUAAUACCGGAUAACAUUUUGAACCGCAUGGUUCGAAAUUGAAAGGCGGCUUCGGCUGUCACUUAUGGAUGGACCCGCGUCGCAUUAGCUAGUUGGUGAGGUAACGGCUCACCAAGGCAACGAUGCGUAGCCGACCUGAGAGGGUGAUCGGCCACACUGGGACUGAGACACGGCCCAGACUCCUACGGGAGGCAGCAGUAGGGAAUCUUCCGCAAUGGACGAAAGUCUGACGGAGCAACGCCGCGUGAGUGAUGAAGGCUUUCGGGUCGUAAAACUCUGUUGUUAGGGAAGAACAAGUGCUAGUUGAAUAAGCUGGCACCUUGACGGUACCUAACCAGAAAGCCACGGCUAACUACGUACAGCAGCCGCAGUAA
rnacentral:rRNA from 1 species